CCUACGGGUUGCACCAGUGGGGAAUAUUGCACAAUGGGCGCAAGCCUGAUGUAGGCAUGCGGCGUGUAUGAAGAAGGCCUUCGGGUUGUAAAGUACUUUCAGCGGGGAGGAAGGUGUUGUCGUUAAUAACCACAGCAAUUGACGUUACCCGCAGAAGAAGCACCGGCUACUCCGUGCCAGCAGCCGCGGUAAUACGGAGGGUGCAAGCGUUAAUCGGAAUUACUGGGCGUAAAGCGCACGCAGGCGGUCUGUCAAGUCGGAUGUGAAAUCCCCGGGCUCAACCUGGGAACUGCAUUCGAAACUGGCAGGCUAGAGUCUUGUAGAGGGGGGUAGAAUUCCAGGUGUAGCGGUGAAAUGCGUAGAGAUCUGGAGGAAUACCGGUGGCGAAGGCGGCCCCCUGGACAAAGACUGACGCUCAGGUGCGAAAGCGUGGGGAGCAAACAGGAUUAGAUACCCGGAUAGUC
rnacentral:rRNA from 1 species